CUGGCUCAGAUUGAACGCUGGCGGCAGGCCUAACACAUGCAAGUCGAGCGGUAACACAGGGAGCUUGCUCCUGGGUGACGAGCGGCGGACGGGUGAGUAAUGUCUGGGAAACUGCCUGAUGGAGGGGGAUAACUACUGGAAACGGUAGCUAAUACCGCAUAACGUCGCAAGACCAAAGAGGGGGACCUUCGGGCCUCUUGCCAUCAGAUGUGCCCAGAUGGGAUUAGCUAGUAGGUGGGGUAAUGGCUCACCUAGGCGACGAUCCCUAGCUGGUCUGAGAGGAUGACCAGCCACACUGGAACUGAGACACGGUCCAGACUCCUACGGGAGGCAGCAGUGGGGAAUAUUGCACAAUGGGCGCAAGCCUGAUGCAGCCAUGCCGCGUGUAUGAAGAAGGCCUUCGGGUUGUAAAGUACUUUCAGCGAGGAGGAAGGCAUUAAGGUUAAUAACCUUGGUGAUUGACGUUACUCGCAGAAGAAGCACCGGCUAACUCCGUGCCAGCAGCCGCGGUAAUACGGAGGGUGCAAGCGUUAAUCGGAAUUACUGGGCGUAAAGCGCACGCAGGCGGUCUGUCAAGUCGGAUGUGAAAUCCCCGGGCUCAACCUGGGAACUGCAUUCGAAACUGGCAGGCUAGAGUCUUGUAGAGGGGGGUAGAAUUCCAGGUGUAGCGGUGAAAUGCGUAGAGAUCUGGAGGAAUACCGGUGGCGAAGGCGGCCCCCUGGACAAAGACUGACGCUCAGGUGCGAAAGCGUGGGGAGCAAACAGGAUUAGAUACCCUG
rnacentral:rRNA from 1 species